GAUGAACGCUGGCGGCGUGCCUAAUACAUGCAAGUCGAGCGAACAGACGAGGAGCUUGCUCCUCCGACGUUAGCGGCGGACGGGGGAGUAACACGUGGAUAACCUACCUAUAAGACUUGGAUAACUUCGGGAAACCGGAGCUAAUACCGGAUAAUAUAUUGAACCGCAUGGUUCAAUAGUGAAAGACGGUUUUGCUGUCACUUAUAGAUGGAUCCGCGCCGCAUUAGCUAGUUGGUAAGGUAACGGCUUACCAAGGCAACGAUGCGUAGCCGACCUGAGAGGGUGAUCGGCCACCCUGGAACUGAGGAGCGGUCCAGACUCCUACGGGAGGCAGCAGUAGGGAAUCUUACGCAAUGGGCGGAAGCCUGACGGAGCAACGCCGCGUGAGUGAUGAAGGUCUUCGGAUCGUAAAACUCUGUUAUUAGGGAAGAACAAAUGUGUAAGUAACUAUGCACGUCUUGACGGUACCUAAUCAGAAAGCCACGGCUAACUACGUG
rnacentral:rRNA from 1 species